rfam:Colinus virginianus strain Texas jcf7180006224511, whole genome shotgun sequence.
CCCCCGGUGGUCCAGUGGUGAGGACUCGGCGCUCCCAGCGCAGCGGCCCGGGUUCGAGUCCCGGCCGGGGAA